CAGGAGAGUGAUGGGUUGUAAGCCAUGGUGACUGAAGGGCUUCUGCUCAACGUACUGCGAAUUACAAGAAAAACAGAAGAUUCAGCCACAACAUUGCUUAUCAUCACCCUCUGCAUAAACAAAGUAGCGGAUCACAUUAGGAUGUUCAUCUGACUCUCGCAGCAGCUGUACUUCACGGUCUGCAAAGCUGAAGCACUCGGGAAGAAUUCUUUUCACUGCGACAUCACGGUUGUCAAAUGUGCCCCUACAGACGGGAAGGAAAAUCACAUCAGCCUUUUACACUCUGCAGACAAAGACUGUAGAGAGCGAGUGACAACAGAAGACAUUUUACAGAGGUGUAUUAAAGCAUUUCUCAUGCUGGAAACAGCAGUCACAGGUAUAAUGAUCGGAAUCCUGAAGAACACCACGUUCAAGCACUGGCUGCAGAUUUGGUUCCUGACCAUCAGGGGAACACACAUUAUGCCUCCUAGCUCGCUAUGUGGCCUUGAGGUGAAGACCACGUUGUAGACAUGAAAUGGUUCUGAAGGGAAUGGCUUGUGCUGCACAAGAAGGAAGCAAGAAUCUAUCCAGCACUCAGGUACUCGGCAUGCUCUUCACACUCCUUUGGCUCGUGCUAGCCAACAAAGUGAGAAGAGGGAGAUGCUACUGUGCUGCCAGCUUUGGCAGUUGGAGGGCACAGAGGAAGACUCCCGCUCAGGUGUACAGCAGGAAAGAAAAAAAAAAAAAAAAAGAGGCAAAAACUUGAGGGCACAGGUUGUUCAGCUCGGAGGGUUGCAGAGGAAUACCAACUGUUUCAAGGGAGCUGCCUGACAUACUGGAAGAGCAGGAUGGUAUUAACAGGGAAGGGGAUCCCCGGCAGAGAAAGGUGGCAGUUAAAAGAAGCUGAAAGUUACACACCGCCCCUGCCACAGAGAUCCUAUGGUAUACAUCACUUCAUUAGAGACCUGCAUCACUUAAACCUGAACAGCUACUCGGUUUUGAAGCAAAAUUGCAAAUGCCUUGAAAAGUCAAUUCCAGAGUUUGGGGAUUUGGGACACACAGGACAGGCUGACACUCAGCCUCUAUGCCUUAGGCCUCCGUUCAUAAAAAGGGCAAAAUGUGAUUGUCUGAUCCAUGAUAAGAAUGAAAGUAACAUUAUGCACAAUAACAAAAGUCCAAAGGAACCAGAAUACAGUAUUUACAGUAAAUAAUAAGUUACCUAUACCCCUCCCUGAAGGAGGGGGUAAAUAAACAACUUUCCACAUACUGAGCUAAGCGCUCUUCAUUCUAUGCACUGAAUAGGGCAGGGGCCUUGAGAAAAACAGCACGCAUAUAUGUAAAGACAUUCAUUCAUACGGAAAAGAGGACAAAUUAGAAACGAUUACUAGAAUUUAGUAAUUACUGCCUGAGUUUAGGCAGUGAUUGUGACUGAUUUACAGCAGCUGAACAGCAGCUCUGCGGUGUGGAUGAGCACCACAUCCCGCCCCAACGGCCGGCCCUCGGGUACCUAUUAAAAGCCAGUCGUUCCA